rnacentral:tRNA from 1 species
GCGGGUAUCGUAUAAUGGCUAUUAUUCCAGUUUUCCAAACUGGUAAUGGGAGUUCGAUUCUCCCUACCCGCUCCA